GCUCUUCCGAUCUGAAGAUUCCAUUGCCGAAUGGUGGUAGGGAUAAAGGACUUACGGAAGGAUGUUAAACGGGUAGUAGGGACUGAGAGAAGUUGGGCUUGGCGUAGUCUUAGUCCCGUAGCUCUUUGUCUCGUGUUUGUUAUGAGGUUUGUCAGGUAUGAGGGGAGGGGAGGGUCGUUGUAGAAUAGUCGAUGGAAAAAUAUCAGUCUGUGUAUGCGUCGUCUGUCUGCCAGUCGUUCCCAGCCUAAAUCUUUAAGUAGAGCGUCAGUAGAUGUUCGAAAUAGGGCCCCAGUCACCAGUCUUGCGCAGCGAUUUUGUAAAGUUUGCAGUCUCGCUGAGUCGAACAAGGUCAAGUGUCCAUCGUAAAUAAUGUCGCAAUAGUCGAAGUGUGGUCUAAUGUAUGUCGUAAUCAAGUCAUUCAGCACACGUCUCGGUAAGAAUUUCGCAAUAGGGUAAACUGGUCCUAAAUGAUAGUUCACUGUCUUGAUGAUCGAAUUUACAUGUUCGUGGAAAUGUAGGUCAGUUGAAAAGGUGAGGCCGAGAUGUUUGUGACUUGUUGAACUUGGUAUUCUUUGUCCGUUAAACUUUAAUUCUGGAUUUGAGUUAUUCUGUUUGUUUGUAAAUGUUUGCAAUACUGUUUUUUGUGCACUAAAAGUAAUAGCCCAUUCUGAUCCAUAUUUACUGAUAUUGUCUAAGUCGUUUUGUAGGGAUUGUAAAUGUGUUUUGCUGUUCUGUGGAUAGGAGGAAUAUAAAGAAGUAUCGUCUGCAUA